UGUAUAUGGACGGUUUACAUACUGAAUCAUACAGAUACAGUUGUUAACAUUGCGAUAUAGAUAAACCUAUUUAUAAAUAAUUAAAUAUGCUUCGCCAUACAUAAGCUAUUGUAUUAUGUUAUGUAAUAAUUUGAUCAAGGGUCAUAUUGGCCUAUUUCAAAUAUGUAGUGUGUUGUAUGUUGCUUUUGAAUAAACUUUCUUCUUCUUCAUACUUAAAAAGUGGUACGUUUAAGUCCGCUGCAAAUAGAUCGCGUAGUAAUCUUAUUUAGUAGUUAAAAUUUAUGACUUAACUCUUGGGAAUCGUAAUUAUGUUUGCAAUAAUACACUUCACUGGCAAUCAAUUUAAACUGAGAGCAAUGAAUAGAACUCUUAAACACUACAUUUAAUUAAUGCUUUUAUUUAAAAAAAUACGGACUACUUCAACAGAUGUACCGGCAUACAUCCGAGGUUGUUUUUGAAAAAAUGGCCGAGGAGCUCCGAAUGCACAACAAUAAUGAAAUGAGAAGAGUAUGGUACCAGGGGUGCAGCUGACUCUGAUUCCCGGCUUGUUCUAAUGAAAAAAGGCAGAUAAGGCACUGGAAUCCGAAUAUGCCAUUGUAUGAGGAUUGACCUGCAAUGCAUGGAAAUCAUCUAACACAACUGCAACGCCUACCUUGGAAAAAUGAGUGCAUGAUGGAAACAAAGCAUUCAGUGGAACAUCUUGUCAUCUCAAAUAUUUGAUGACUUACAUACUGAUGUGAAGUUGAAGAUAAAAGUCAUCUGUAGGUCCGUGAUUAUUAAAUAAAUCUGAACAUAUAUUUAAAAGGGUUAUAUGGUAAAGGAUUUAUCUACGCUUAAAGUGGUUUUCCUAUAUUAUGGAGGUAAGAUAACUACAAAAACAGAAACAGAUGGCAUCGGCAGACCAAAUAAAGGAGAACUAUUUUGUUCAGUUCAAUUUUUAAGACUUCAGAAAAUCCGUUAAUAGGGCACAUCCAUGCAAAUGCCAUAUUGUAAACUGGGCUCUUUAAAAUGUGAAAAGGUGAAAGUGGUCUAGAGGAUAAGCCUCAGAUUCAAGGUUGUGAGUUCAAGACCUCCAAGAUACUUUCUCUUGACCUCAGGAAAAGGAUGUCCAUACUUGUUUCUACUUAGGCAACAGACUUAAGAGUGAUUCUGUAAGCUUCCAGCUUGCAUAGCAAUCUGAUAAGGCAUAAAAUAAGAUACUAGCUGACUUGCAAAAUAUAUACUAGCUGACUUGCAAACAGUUUUUCCAUUUGUGUUGAUUUAUUUUUCAGUCUGUUGGAAUGUUUAUUAUGUAAGUGAUGCGCAUUGCUUACUGCAACCAAUAUUUAUUUUCUUUAUUAAGUUAAAUUUAGCGAACACAUAACAUGACUUGUGAUUUUACAGAUGCAUGUUUAUUUUGUUGAUUGUAUGAGUUUAUUUUCUCAAAUGAUGUAAUAAAAG